rnacentral:misc_RNA from 1 species
CAGAUAUCUUGUUUAUGCAAUCUCUAGAAAUUAAUGUAAUUAUGGGAAAAUAAAUAAAAUUCUUCAAGCCCAUUUGGCCAGUACACACAUACAACCAGCUCCUAAGAAAAGACAAACAUUAGCUCCGAAUUGAAUCCUGAAAUUGCUUUGCAAUCUUGGGUUCAUGAAAUCUGCAGCUAGAAGAUCAACAAGUGACAUAUAGAUCAAAAUCCCAGCAGAGGCUGAGUUGAACAUUCCCUCAACAAUUAGUGCUGUGGGACUAUUCUCCUUGUAAACACUUGAUAUGGCUAUUCCAAUUGCAAUCCCUAGUGGAGUUGUGAGAGAGAAAAAUGUUGCCAUAAUUGUUGUAGAUUUGGAUUUGAAUUUUGCCUCAGAUAU